UACUCAGCUACUGUGUGUUCACUGAGCUC
rnacentral:piRNA from 1 species